GAUGAACGCUGGCGGCGUGCCUAAUACAUGCAAGUCGAGCGAACGGACGAGGAGCUUGCUUCUCUGAUGUUAGCGGCGGACGGGUGAGUAACACGUGGAUAACCUACCUAUAAGACUGGGAUAACUUCGGGAAACCGGAGCUAAUACCGGAUGAUAUUUUGAACCGCAUGGUUCAAAAGUGAAAGACGGUCUUGCUGUCACUUAUAGAUGGAUCCGCGCUGCAUUAGCUAGUUGGUAAGGUAACGGCUUACCAAGGCAACGAUGCAUAGCCGACCUGAGAGGGUGAUCGGCCACACUGGAACUGAGACACGGUCCAGACUCCUACGGGAGGCAGCAGUAGGGAAUCUUCCGCAAUGGGCGAAAGCCUGACGGAGCAACGCCGCGUGAGUGAUGAGGGUCUUCGGAUCGUAAAACUCUGUUAUUAGGGAAGAACAUAUGUGUAAGUAACUGUGCACAUCUUGACGGUACCUAAUCAGAAAGCCACGGCUAACUACGUG
rnacentral:rRNA from 1 species